AGUCACUGACAUUAGAUACCCCUGUAGUCCAGGGUGUAAACGCUGCAGACUUGGUGUUGGGGGCCCUUUGGGGGCAUUCAGUGCCGGAGAGAAGUUGUUAAGUCUGCUACUUGGGGAGUACGUCCGCAAGGAUGAAACUUAAAGGAAUUGGCGGGGGAGCACCGCAACGGGAGGAGCGUGCGGUUUAAUUGGAUUCAACACCGUAAAACUCACCAGGGAAGACUGUUACAUGAAGGCCGAGAUGAAGACUCUGCUAGAUUUUCAG
rnacentral:rRNA from 1 species